GUAGGUGACCUGCGGAGGGAUCAUUACAGAGUUCAUGCCCUUACGGGUAGAUCUCCCACCCUAUGUUAUUAUUACCUUUGUUGCUUUGGCGGGCCGUCAGGCCUCGGUCAGGCUAUCGGCUCCGGCUGGUAAGCGCCCGCCAGAGGACCCAAAAACUCUGAAUGUUAAUGUCGUCUGAGUACUAUAUAAUAGUUAAAACUUUCAACAACGGAUCUCUUGGUUCUGGCAUCGAUGAAGAACGCAGCGAAAUGCGAUAAGUAAUGUGAAUUGCAGAAUUCAGUGAAUCAUCGAAUCUUUGAACGCACAUUGCGCCCCUUGGUAUUCCGAGGGGCAUGCCUGUUCGAGCGUCAUUACAACCCUCAAGCAUUGCUUGGUAUUGGGCUCCGCUGCUCACCCAGCGGGCCUUAAAAUCAGUGGCGGUGCCGUCGAGGCCCUGAGCGUAGUAAAUAUCCUCGCUAUAGGGACUCGGUGGACGCUGGCCAUUAACCCCCAACUUUCUAAGUUUGACCUCGGAUCAGGUAGGGAUACCCGCUGAACUUAAGCAUAUCAAUAAGCGGAGGAAAAGAAACCAACAGGGAUUGCCUCAGUAACGGCGAGUGAAGCGGCAACAGCUCAAAUUUGAAAUCUGGCUCUUUCAGGGUCCGAGUUGUAAUUUGUAGAAAUGCUUUGGGUGUGGCUCCGGUCUAAGUCCUGGAACAGGACGUCAUAGAGGUGAGAAUCCCGUAUGUGAUGGCUGCUUC
rnacentral:rRNA from 1 species